CAGUCGCCGCGGUAAAACGAAGGGGGCUAGCGUUGCUCGGAUUUACUGGGCGUAAAGGGCGCGUAGGCGGACUGAUAAGUCAGGAGUGAAAUCCCAGAGCUCAACUCUGGAACUGCCUUUGAUACUGGGUAUCUUGAGUAUGGAAGAGGUGAGUGGAAUUCCGAGUGUAGAGGUGAAAUUCGUAGAUAUUCGGAGGAACACCAGUGGCGAAGGCGGCUCACUGGUCCAUUACUGACGCUGAGGUGCGAAAGCGUGGGGAGCAAACAGGAUUAGAGACCCCCGUAGUCCCUGUCUCUUAUAC
rnacentral:rRNA from 1 species